rnacentral:rRNA from 1 species
CCUACGGGUGGCAGCAGUGAGGAAUAUUGGUCAAUGGACGGAAGUCUGAACCAGCCAAGUCGCGUGAAGGAAGACGGCCCUAUGGGUUGUAAACUUCUUUUAUACGGGGGUAAAGCGGUCCACGUGUGGGCAGUUGUAAGUACCGUAAGAAUAAGGAUCGGCUAACUCCGUGCCAGCAGCCGCGGUAAUACGGAGGAUCCGAGCGUUAUCCGGAUUUAUUGGGUUUAAAGGGUGCGUAGGGGGAUUGGUAAGUUAGGUGUGAAAUUUUCGGGGUUAACCCCGGAAGUGCCGUUGAAACUGACGACCUUGAGUGAAUGAGAGGUAAGCGGAAUGCGUGGUGUAGCGGUGAAAUGCUUAGAUAUCACGCAGAACGCCGAUUGCGAAGGCAGCUUACCGGACUUCAACUGACGCUGAGGCACGAAAGUGUGGGUAUCGAACAGGAUUAGAUACCCGGGUAGUC